GGCGAACGCUGGCGGCGUGCUUAACACAUGCAAGUCGAACGGAAAGGCCCUGCUUUUGUGGGGUGCUCGAGUGGCGAACGGGUGAGUAACACGUGAGUAACCUGCCCUUGACUUUGGGAUAACUUCAGGAAACUGGGGCUAAUACCGGAUAGGAGCUCCUGCUGCAUGGUGGGGGUUGGAAAGUUUCGGCGGUUGGGGAUGGACUCGCGGCUUAUCAGCUUGUUGGUGGGGUAGUGGCUUACCAAGGCUUUGACGGGUAGCCGGCCUGAGAGGGUGACCGGCCACAUUGGGACUGAGAUACGGCCCAGACUCCUACGGGAGGCAGCAGUGGGGAAUAUUGCACAAUGGGCGGAAGCCCGAUGCAGCAACGCCGCGUGCGGGAUGACGGCCUUCGGGUUGUAAACCGCUUUCGCCUGUGACGAAGCGUGAGUGACGGUAAUGGGUAAAGAAGCACCGGCUAACUACGUG
rnacentral:rRNA from 1 species